ensembl:misc_RNA 7SK 7SK RNA
GGAUGUGAGGGCGAUCUGGCUGCGACAUCUGUCACUCCAUUGAUCGCCAGGGUUGAUUCAGCUGAUCUGGCUAGCUAGGCGUGUGUCCCCUUCCUCCCUCACCACUCCAUGUGCAUCCCUCCUGAAGCUGCAUGCUUGGUAAAAGAGGACGGCCUUCCCUGAACAGAGAUGGACUGGUCUUCGGUCGAGGGUAUAUGAGUAGCUGCACUCCCCUGCUGGAACCUCCAAACAAGCUCUCAAGGCCCAGGUGCUAAGAUGAUGAUAACUGGACUUCCCUAGACAGACAAUCCCAUCAAUGUGUCCUGG